rnacentral:rRNA from 1 species
UACGUAGGGGGCUAGCGUUGUCCGGAAUCAUUGGGCGUAAAGCGCGUGUAGGCGGCCCGGUAAGUCCGCUGUGAAAGUCGGGGGCUCAACCCUCGAAAGCCGGUGGAUACUGUCGGGCUCGAGUGCGGAAGAGGCGAGUGGAAUUCCUGGUGUAGCGGUGAAAUGCGCAGAUAUCAGGAGGAACACCGAUUGCGAAGGCAGCUCGCUGGGACGUUAUUGACGCUGAGACGCGAAAGCGUGGGGAGCAAACAGG